UACGGGGGGGGCAAGCGUUGUUCGGAAUUACUGGGCGUAAAGGGUGCGUAGGCGGCGAGGUAAGUCUGAUGUGAAAUCCCGGGGCUCAACCCCGGAACUGCAUUGGAUACUGGCCUUGCUUGAGUACUGGAGAGGGAACUGGAAUUUACGGUGUAGCAGUGAAAUGCGUAGAGAUCGUAAGGAAGGCCAGUGGCGAAGGCGAGUUCCUGGACAGUUACUGACGCUGAGGCACGAAGGCCAGGGGAGCAAACGGG
rnacentral:rRNA from 1 species